GCGGGCGUGGCGAAAUUGGCAGACGCACCAGACUUAGGAUCUGGCGGGCAACCGUGGGGGUUCGAGUCCCUUCGCCCGCACCA
rnacentral:tRNA from 1 species